rnacentral:misc_RNA from 1 species
UGAGACUGUUCCAUGUAGGUGAA